rnacentral:rRNA from 1 species
GAUGAACGCUGGCGGCGUGCCUAAUACAUGCAAGUCGAGCGAACAGACGAGGAGCUUGCUCCUCUGACGUUAGCGGCGGACGGGUGAGUAACACGUGGAUAACCUACCUAUAAGACUGGGAUAACUUCGGGAAACCGGAGCUAAUACCGGAUAAUAUAUUGAACCGCAUGGUUCAAUAGUGAAAGACGGUUUUGCUGUCACUUAUAGAUGGAUCCGCGCCGCAUUAGCUAGUUGGUAAGGUAACGGCUUACCAAGGCAACGAUGCGUAGCCGACCUGAGAGGGUGAUCGGCCACACUGAACUGAGACACGGUCCAGACUCCUACGGGAGGCAGCAGUAGGGAAUCUUCCGCAAAGGGCGAAAGCCUGACGGAGCAACGCCGCGUGAGUGAUGAAGGUCUUCGGAUCGUAAAACUCUGUUAUUAGGGAAGAACAAAUGUGUAAGUAACUAUGCACGUCUUGACGGUACCUAAUCAGAAAGCCACGGCUAACUACGUG